UUGCAGAGUCAAAUUCAAGGGAAGUGCUUCCUGAAGGGGCAUUAAGACUCAUGGAAAUUUGAUGUCAAGCUAUCAAAUGUUAUAAAGUGGAAUUCCUCUGCUGACUUCAGAGAAGAGAUGCUGGUUGGCAGUUGAUAAGGACCUGUCCCUGGAUCUGCAAGACAGUUUGUCUAUUCCUCUGCCAGUGCAGCACUGUUUCAGAAAGCAUACAUCUGGAUCAGGAACCGUUUGAGGAGGUCUGUCCCAUUACAGAGGAAGCUGGGUUUUCUGUACCUCUCAGAUGAAUUACAAAUCCAGAUGUGUGCUUCAUCCAAAAAAGUGUUUGUUAGAUCUCCUUCUAGUUCAGAAGACAGUUGGGUCCUCUCUGCAACAUAUUUUGCUGGUGACUCGAUGGUUCCAGAGACUAACAUGGAAAUAUAAAGUCAUAGUGAACCUUGUGACCAUUUUAAAUCUAAUCCAGUUAGAGACCUCUGCAAGGAUGAAAACAUGAUUUAAAGGAAAAGUCUCAAAAGGAGAAAAGUCAUGAACUCGGGGGCCUGGCUGCUGAAUAUGUCCUCUUCCCCAGGCGAUGCUGUGGGACCUGGCUCCUUGAGGAUGGACAGACGGACGGACAGCAAGGCUGAUGCCUGAGAGCAUGCGGUGAGGUUGGCUGAUGGCAGAAGAAGCACUCCCGACUUUCCUGACUGCCAACAGAGCAGCGCGGUAAAAUGCACUUGUUAUGAAGGAACCUCCCUGACUGCUCUGCCCAGCCCUUCCCGGGGUCCCCACCACCCCUCGCCCCUCGUUGCCGCUCAGCGGGGUCCUUCCCCCAGCUCGGCUCCCCGGUGCCUCCUGGCUCAUGCCCCAUUGGAUAGGUUCUCCCUCUAGCCUACAAAUGCCUAAGCCCAGGCAACGGUUCCCUCCAACACUGUGACCAAACCUCUCUGUCCUUACUUUCCAAUCUGGUAGAAAACACAAGGGAAGCACAAUUUGCUACCCCCCACCCUGAAGGAAAAGAGGACACCUUGGUCAGUGAUCAUAUUUCAGUAAUCAAAGAAAAAAUUAGGUUAUUCUCCUUCCCUUGCUAGACUCCAGCACUCAGAGUAAUCUGAAAUGGAAAAAAGACUGAAAAGGCCUUUGAUAGUGACACACCGCUUUCUCUUCAUGUGCGCUCUUUUAUCAGAGCUUACAGACAUUUGAGCAGAGUGUGGGGCCCUGUUGAAUCGGCUGUUUUGCACAUUUUUAAUGAUUGUUUUCUCAUUCAUUUCCUGUUUUCUUACCAGUGGCCCCAACCACAUUCAGAACCUAGAUAGUAAGUGCCUUGGUAUCUCUGCCAGCUGUGUUUAAACUCCUUUUUCUACUCUUUAAAAAAGCUUAGAGCUCCACUUACUUCCCUUCUGAUACAUAACUUAAGCUAAACUUGACUUGAGGCCAACCAUAUCUAAAAAAAGGAAAAAGAAAGCUUGGGUAGAGCAGGAAACAGGUAAUUCUGCUGCUGUUGCAAGUGCUGG
rnacentral:lncRNA from 1 species